AAGCCUGACGGAGCAACGCCGCGUGAGGGAGGAAGGCUCUUGGGUUGUAAACCUCUUUUGCUGGGGAAGAAGAUCUGACGGUACCCAGCGAAUCAGCAUCGGCUAACUCCGUGCCAGCAGCCGCGGUAAUACGGAGGAUGCAAGCGUUAUCCGGAAUUAUUGGGCGUAAAGCGUCCGCAGGUGGUUAUUCAAGUCUGCUGUUAAAGAGUGAAGCUUAACUUCACAAAGGCGUGGAAACUGAACAACUAGAGAUCAGUAGGGGUAGCAGGAAUUCCCAGUGUAGCGGUGAAAUGCGUAGAGAUUGGGAAGAACAUCGGUGGCGAAAGCGUGCUACUGGGCUGAAUCUGACACUGAGGGACGAAAGCUAGGGGAGCAAAAGGGAUUAGAUACCCCUGUAGUCCUAGCCGUAAACGAUGGAAACUAGGCGUGGCUUGUAUCGACCCGAGCCGUGCCGAAGCUAACGCGUUAAGUUUCCCGCCUGGGGAGUACGCACGCAAGUGUGAAACUCAAAGGAAUUGACGGGGGCCCGCACAAGCGGUGGAGUAUGUGGUUUAAUUCGAUGCAACGCGAAGAACCUUACCAGGGCUUGACAUGUCGCGAACCCCGAUGAAAGUUGGGGGUGCCUUCGGGAGCGCGAACACAGGUGGUGCAUGGCUGUCGUCAGCUCGUGUCGUGAGAUGUUGGGUUAAGUCCCGCAACGAGCGCAACCCUCGUCCUUAGUUGCCAGCAGGUAAAGCUGGGCACUCUGAGGAGACUGCCGGUGACAAACCGGAGGAAGGUGGGGAUGACGUCAAGUCAGCAUGCCCCUUACGCCCUGGGCGACACACGUACUACAAUGGUUGAGACAAAGGGCAGCGAACUUGCAAAAGUCAGCGAAUCCCAUCAAACUCAGCCUCAGUUCAGAUUGCAGGCUGCAACUCGCCUGCAUGAAGGAGGAAUCGCUAGUAAUCGCCGGUCAGCAUACGGCGGUGAAUCCGUUCCCGGGCCUUGUACACACCGCCCGUCACACCAUGGAAGCUGGCCACGCCCGAAGUCGUUACCCUAACCACUUGUUGGAGGGGGAUGCCGAAGGCAGG
rnacentral:rRNA from 1 species